GGGGGCGAUGCGCGAGCGGUCGCAGGCGCGGUUUUCGCCCUCGCGGGCCGUGGCGUUCCAGUCGCUCUCGCUGCUG
rnacentral:tRNA from 1 species